AGAGUUUGAUCCUGGCUCAGGACGAACGCUGGCGGUGUGCCUCACACAUGCAAGUCGAGCGGGUGAAAUUGGUAGCUUGCUAUCAACGUAAUCAGCGGCGGACGGGUGAGUAAUACGUAGGAAUCUGCCUCUAGGCGGGGGACAACGGACUGAAAGGUCCGCUAAUACCCCAUAUGCGAGUAAUCGUGAAAGGAGCAAUU
rnacentral:rRNA from 1 species